rnacentral:rRNA from 1 species
AAUAGAUACCCAGGUAGUCCACGCCGUAAACGAUGAGUGCUAAGUGUUAGAGGGUUUCCGCCCUUUAGUGCUGCAGCUAACGCAUUAAGCACUCCGCCUGGGGAGUACGGCCGCAAGGCUGAAACUCAAAGGAAUUGACGGGGGCCCGCACAAGCGGUGGAGCAUGUGGUUUAAUUCGAAGCAACGCGAAGAACCUUACCAGGUCUUGACAUCCUCUGCCAACCCUAGAGAUAGGGCGUUCCCCUUCGGGGGACAGAGUGACAGGUGGUGCAUGGUUGUCGUCAGCUCGUGUCGUGAGAUGUUGGGUUAAGUCCCGCAACGAGCGCAACCCUUGAUCUUAGUUGCCAGCAUUCAGUUGGGCACUCUAAGGCGACUGCCGGUGACAAACCGGAGGAAGGUGGGGAUGACGUCAAAUCAUCAUGCCCCUUAUGACCUGGGCUACACACGUGCUACAAUGGAUGGUACAAAGAGCUGCGAACCCGCGAGGGUAAGCGAAUCUCAUAAAGCCAUUCUCAGUUCGGAUUGUAGG